AUGGGUGCCGACAAGACGGUGCGAUUCGAGGAGCUGCUGCUGCAGGCCUCCAAGAAGUUCCAGCAAGCCCAGACAACCAGACCAGAUUCUACACAAAUUCAACCUCAGCCUGGUUUCUGCAUAAAGACUAACUCAUUGGAAGGGAAGGUUUUCUUCAACAUCUGUCACUCUGCCUCCAUCCCUCCUCCAGCUGAUGUGACCGAGGACCAGCUUCUUCAAAUGCUGGAGGAGGACCACGCUGAGUUUUGCAUCCCCAUGAAUCUGGGAGAGCCUCAUGCUGAACUGGAUGCAAAAGACCAGGGCCGUACCAUCUAUGAUGUAGCUGUCAACAGCGACUUCUACAGGAGGAUGCAGAACAGCAAUUUCUUGUGGAAGCUCGUGGUCACCGAUGCCAGGGAGGGCCUUGAGGAUAAAUACAGCUUGCAGCUGAAUCCAGAAUGGCACAUGCUGAAGAACCAGACUUUCCUGGAUUCCAUCUCUCAGCAGAAUAUUUGCUCCCAGCAGCGUCCUCAAAUCCAAGAACUGGGAAACCUGUCCAUGCCCAAUUCCAGGAGGAUGAGAAAGGCCCUAAGAAGUCUUACCUGACCCUCCGGCUGGAAGCCCCUGACCUCCUAUUGGCAGAAAUUGACCUUCCCAAACUGAAUGGAGCACUGGGGCUAUCGCUAGAGAUUGGGGAGAACCACCUGGUGAUGAGGGGUCCCCAGCAGCUGUUUCAUGUAGAUGUCUACAUCCCCCUGUGGAUUAAUUCUGAUGGGAGCAAGGCAGCCUUUCACUGGAAGAGAAAGAAAUUGAUGGUGACCAUGCCUCUUCUGUCUGUACCUUCCUGACCAGGGUGUGUCCCUGUGCUUCUAGAUGUGGAGAAGAAGCUGGUGGCUUCUCUAAAAUUGAAAUAAAAGAUUUUUGCUUU